CAGGCAGCCAACUUGAUCAGUCUUGCUGGUCACAAUGUUUGCAUAACACUUCAAAACAAACAAGAAACUGCUUUGGAUCUGGCUCACUGGUAUGUCCUUCAACGGACCCGUGCACCUUUUGAAAGGUUCAGAGAUGGCUUGAGGUCUCUAGGUGUCCUAGAUGCUCUACAGACAUACCCUCUUCAGAUGAAGUGCCUUUUCGAGAAAGCUGGAAUGGCUCUGAGAGCAACUGAUAUGGAGAAUCUAUUCCAGAUCAUUCACUCUGAACGAGGGAGUAAUGCAUUUCAAGACGAGUGCCGGACCCUGGCUUUCUGGCAAGACUAUCUUCAGGAGGCAGAAUUUGAAAAUGAUGUCUCUUUGGAAGAUAUUCUUGUUUUCUGCACUGGAUGUGACAGCAUACCAGCCCUGGGUUUUUCUCCAAAGCCAAGCCUUGAGUUUG